rnacentral:rRNA from 1 species
GUUGAACGCUGGCGGCAGGCCUAACACAUGCAAGUCGAGCGAGCGGCGGACGGGUGAGUAAUGUCUGGGAAACUGCCUGAUGGAGGGGGAUAACUACUGGAAACGGUAGCUAAUACAGCAUACCAUCAGAUUUGCCCAGAUGGUAUUAGCUAGUGGGUGGGGUAACGGCUCACCUAGGCGACGAUCCCUAGCGGGUCUGAGAGGAUGACCAGCCACACUGGAACUGAGACAGGGUCCAGAUUCCUACGGGAGGCAGCAGGGGGGAAUAUUGCACAAUGGGCGCAAGCCUGAUGCAGCCAUGCCGCGUGUGUGAAGAAGGCCUUCGGGUUGUAAAGCACUUUCAGCGGGGAGGCGUUACCCGCAGAAGAAGCACCGGCUAACUCCGUGCCAGCAGCCGCGGUAAUUC